ACGGGUGAGUAACACGUAGAUAAUCUACCUCAGAGUCUGGAAUAACCUGCCGAAAGGCGGGCUAAUACUGGAUAGAGCGAUGGAAUCCGUAAUUGGGUUUUUCGGGAAAGGGAGGGAGCAAUCCCCUUCGCUUUGAGAUGAGUCUGCGUCCCAUCAGGUAGUUGGUAGGGUAACGGCCUACCAAGCCUAUGACGGGUAGCUGGUCUGAGAGGAUGAUCAGCCACACUGGAACUGAAACACGGUCCAGACUCCUACGGGAGGCAGCAGUGGGGAAUCUUGCGCAAUGGACGAAAGUCUGACGCAGCCACGCCGCGUGAGUGAAGAAGGCCUUCGGGUUGUAAAGCUCUGUCGGGCGGGACGAAAAUCAUUGGUGUUAACAGCGCCAGUGACUGACGGUACCGCCAAAGGAAGCACCGGCUAACUUCGUGCCAGCAGCCGCGGUAAUACGAGGGGUGCAAGCGCUGCUCGGAAUUAUUGGGCGUAAAGGGUAGGUAGGUGGUCUCAUUUGUCUGGGGUGAAAUCCUUGAGCUUAACUCAAGAAGUGCCCCGGAAACGGUGAGACUAGAGUACUGGAGAGGGUCGUGGAAU
rnacentral:rRNA from 1 species